rnacentral:rRNA from 1 species
AAUGAUUUCCCUAGUAACGGCGAGUGAAGAGGAAAGAGCUCAAAGUUGGAACCUGUUUGGCUUAGCUAAACCGGAUUGUAAACUGUAGAAGUGUUUUCCAGACACGCCUGGUAAAAAAGUCCUUUGGAACAGGGCAUCAUAGAGGGUGAGAAUCCCGUCAUUGGCCAGAGCUGUUGUCUUUUGUGAUACAUUUUCAAAGAGUCAGGUUGUUUGGGAAUGCAGCCUAAAUUGGGUGGUAAAUCUCACCUAAAGCUAAAUAUUUGCGAGAGACCGAUAGCGAACAAGUACCGUGAGGGAAAGAUGAAAAGAACUUUGAAAAGAGAGUUAAACAGUAUGUGAAAUUGUUAAAAGGGAACCGUUUGGAGCCAGACUGGCUUAACUGUAAUCAAUCUAGGCUUUGGCCUGGAUGCACUUGCGGUUUAUGCCGGCCAACGACAGUUUUGUUUGAGGGAAAAAAUUACAUUGAAUGUGGCCCUUCGGGGUGUUAUAGCUUUGUAAAAAAUACCUUGGACUGGACUGAGGAACGCAGUGAAUGCCUUUAGGCAAGAUUGCUGGGUGCUUUCGCUAAUAAAUGCUAGAAUUUCUGCUUCGGGUGGUGCUAGUGUUUAAAGGAGGAACUCGCUUAGUAUAUUUUUUAUUCGCUUAGGUUGUUGGCUUAAUGACUCUAAAUGACCCGUCUUGAAACACGGACCAAGGAGUCCACCAUAAGUGCGAGUAUUUGGGUGACAAACCCAUAUGCGCAAGGAAACUGAUU